UGUCUUAUUUUUAAGUCUUACAUUUAGUCACUCCUGAGGUCCGCCUACACUGCGCGUCACUGAUAUUACGCUGACCUCGCCGCCUGCUGUGCCUGUUGCUGGUUCGCUGUGAGCAACGCUAUAGAUGGUAUGAAAUGAGAAUUGCAUGAAUCAUAUUGUUAUACAUACUUCCUUUACCCCUAAUGUUAACCACGACACCUGCUGGUGAAAAGCAAUACUGCACAUCAUCACCAAAAGAGACAGAAAAAGAAAAAAACUUUGUUCUGACACUUCAAUUUGAACUGCUGACAUCAUUUUUGGCGCCAUACUUCACUGAUGGGGGGUGGGUAUUUAAUGAUCACUUCACAGUUACACAAUAUCCUUGAAAAAGGUCCCCAGGUGGGACCGAAACGUCAGGUUAAGAUGUAAAUCACUUAAAAAUAAAAAGCGAUUUUUCUUCACAUCAAUACAGUGAGUGCUGAUCCGUCUUACUCUAUCUAUGCUAUUUUGAUCAUACACCACGGACAAACACAACGAUUAGA